GGGGGGGGGUUUUUAGAGUUUUGAAACAGGCUCAGGACGAACGCUGGCGGCGUGCUUAACACAUGCAAGUCGAGCGGUAAGGCCCUUCGGGGUACACGAGCGGCGAACGGGUGAGUAACACGUGAGCAACCUGCCCCUGACUCUGGGAUAAGCGGUGGAAACGCCGUCUAAUACCGGAUACGACCCGCCACCUCAUGGUGGAGGGUGGAAAGUUUUUCGGUCAGGGAUGGGCUCGCGGCCUAUCAGCUUGUUGGUGGGGUAACGGCCUACCAAGGCGAUUACGGGUAGCCGGCCUGAGAGGGCGACCGGCCACACUGGGACUGAGACACGGCCCAGACUCCUGCGGGAGGCAGCAGUGGGGAAUAUUGCGCAAUGGGCGAAAGCCUGACGCAGCGACGCCGCGUGGGGGAUGACGGCCUUCGGGUUGUAAACCUCUUUUACCACCAACGCAGGCUCGAAGUUCUCUUCGGGUUGACGGUAGGUGGGGAAUAAGGACCGGCUAACUACGUGCCAGCAGCCGCGGUAAUACGUAGGGUCCGAGCGUUGUCCGGAAUUAUUGGGCGUAAAGAGCUCGUAGGCGGCGUGUCGCGUCUGCUGUGAAAGACCGGGGCUUAACUCCGGUUCUGCAGUGGAUACGGGCAUGCUAGAGGUAGGUAGGGGAGACUGGAAUUCCUGGUGUAGCGGUGAAAUGCGCAGAUAUCAGGAGGAACACCGGUGGCGAAGGCGGGUCUCUGGGCCUUACCUGACGCUGAGGAGCGAAAGCAUGGGGAGCGAACAGGAUUAGAUACCCUGGUAGUCCAUGCCGUAAACGUUGGGCGCUAGGUGUGGGGACUUUCCACGGUUUCCGCGCCGUAGCUAACGCAUAAGCGCCCCGCCUGGAGAUGCGAUGCUUUGCU
rnacentral:rRNA from 2 species